ensembl:rRNA 5S_rRNA 5S ribosomal RNA
GUCUGUGGCCAUACAGCCCUGAAUUGUCCUGCUCUUUCUCUUCACUGAAGCUAAGCAGAGUCUGGCCUGAUAAGACUCGGAUGGGGGGACUGUAGAGGGAGUGGUAGAAC